GAAACGACUCUCGGCAACGGAUAUCUCGGCUCUUGUUACGAUGAAAAACGUAGCGAAAUGCGAUACUUAGUGUGAAUUGCAAAAUCCCGUGAAUCAUCGAGUUUUUGAACGCAAUUUGCGCCCGAGGCUUCGGUCGAGGGCACGUCUGUCUGGGCGUCGCAU
rnacentral:rRNA from 1 species